rnacentral:rRNA from 1 species
ACGGGUAACGGGGAAUUAGGGUUCGAUUCCGGAGAGGGAGCCUGAGAAACGGCUACCACAUCUAAGGAAGGCAGCAGGCGCGCAAAUUACCCAAUGAAAACAGUUUCGAGGUAGUGACGAGAAAUAACAAUACAGGGCAUUUUAUGCUCUGUAAUUGGAAUGAUGGGAAUGUAAAACCCUUUCAGAGUAACAAUUGGAGGGCAAGUCUGGUGCCAGCAGCCGCGGUAAUUCCAGCUCCAAUAGUGUAUAUUAGAGUU